rnacentral:rRNA from 1 species
UACGUAGGGGGCGAGCGUUGUCCGGAUUCAUUGGGCGUAAAGAGCUCGUAGGCGGUUUGGUAAGUCGGGUGUGAAAACCCCAGGCUCAACCUGGGGACGCCACCUGAUACUGCUAUGACUUGAGUCUGGUAGGGGAUCACGGAAUUCCUGGUGUAGCGGUGAAAUGCGUAGAGAUCGGGAGGAACACCGGCGGCGAAGGCGGCUGCCUGGACCAGUCCUGACGCUGAGGCGCGAAAGCUAGGGGAGCAAACAGG